rnacentral:rRNA from 1 species
GAAGGCCCAGACAGCCAGGAUGUUGGCUUAGAAGCAGCCAUCAUUUAAAGAAAGCGUAAUAGCUCACUGGUCGAGUCGGCCUGCGCGGAAGAUGUAACGGGGCUAAACCAUGCACCGAAGCUGCGGCAGCGACGCUGAUGCGUUGUUGGGUAGGGGAGCGUUCUGUAAGCCUGUGAAGGUGUGCUGUGAGGCAUGCUGGAGGUAUCAGAAGUGCGAAUGCUGACAUAAGUAACGAUAAAGCGGGUGAAAAGCCCGCUCGCCGGAAGACCAAGGGUUCCUGUCCAACGUUAAUCGGGGCAGGGUGAGUCGACCCCUAAGGCGAGGCCGAAAGGCGUAGUCGAUGGGAAACAGGUUAAUAUUCCUGUACUUGGUGUUACUGCGAAGGGGGGACGGAGAAGGCUAUGUUGGCCGGGCGACGGUUGUCCCGGUUUAAGCGUGUAGGCUGGUUUUCCAGGCAAAUCCGGAAAACUAAGGCUGAGGCGUGAUGACGAGGCACUACGGUGCUGAAGCAACAAAUGCCCUGCUUCCAGGAAAAGCCUCUAAGCAUCAGGUAACAUCAAAUCGUACCCCAAACCGACACAGGUGGUCAGGUAGAGAAUACCAAGGCGCUUGAGAGAACUCGGGUGAAGGAACUAGGCAAAAUGGUGCCGUAACUUCGGGAGAAGGCACGCUGAUAUGUAGGUGAAGUCCCUCGCGGAUGGAGCUGAAAUCAGUCGAAGAUACCAGCUGGCUGCAACUGUUUAUUAAAAACACAGCACUGUGCAAACACGAAAGUGGACGUAUACGGUGUGACGCCUGCCCGGUGCCGGAAGGUUAAUUGAUGGGGUCAGCGCAAGCGAAGCUCUUGAUCGAAGCCCCGGUAAACGGCGGCCGUAACUAUAACGGUCCUAAGGUAGCGAAAUUCCUUGUCGGGUAAGUUCCGACCUGCACGAAUGGCGUAAUGAUGGCCAGGCUGUCUCCACCCGAGACUCAGUGAAAUUGAACUCGCUGUGAAGAUGCAGUGUACCCGCGGCAAGACGGAAAGACCCCGUGAACCUUUACUAUAGCUUGACACUGAACAUUGAGCCUUGAUGUGUAGGAUAGGUGGGAGGCUUUGAAGUGUGGACGCCAGUCUGCAUGGAGCCGACCUUGAAAUACCACCCUUUAAUGUUUGAUGUUCUAACGUUGACCCGUAAUCCGGGUUGCGGACAGUGUCUGGUGGGUAGUUUGACUGGGGCGGUCUCCUCCUAAAGAGUAACGGAGGAGCACGAAGGUUGGCUAAUCCUGGUCGGACAUCAGGAGGUUAGUGCAAUGGCAUAAGCCAGCUUGACUGCGAGCGUGACGGCGCGAGCAGGUGCGAAAGCAGGUCAUAGUGAUCCGGUGGUUCUGAAUGGAAGGGCCAUCGCUCAACGGAUAAAAGGUACUCCGGGGAUAACAGGCUGAUACCGCCCAAGAGUUCAUAUCGACGGCGGUGUUUGGCACCUCGAUGUCGGCUCAUCACAUCCUGGGGCUGAAGUAGGUCCCAAGGGUAUGGCUGUUCGCCAUUUAAAGUGGUACGCGAGCUGGGUUUAGAACGUCGUGAGACAGUUCGGUCCCUAUCUGCCGUGGGCGCUGGAGAACUGAGGGGGGCUGCUCCUAGUACGAGAGGACCGGAGUGGACGCAUCACUGGUGUUCGGGUUGUCAUGCCAAUGGCACUGCCCGGUAGCUAAAUGCGGAAGAGAUAAGUGCUGAAAGCAUCUAAGCACGAAACUUGCCCCGAGAUGAGUUCUCCCUGACUCCUUGAGAGUCCUGAAGGAACGUUGAAG